rnacentral:siRNA from 1 species
UUACUAAUUGAGAAUAUGCCUU